UCUAGAGCUAAUACAUGCAAGUAUUUGGCAGUGCCCUCGGGUGCUGUCAAAGCAUUUAUUAGACCAAACCAACUGUUGUGCGAUCAUUGGUCGUACAGCAAGGUGAAUCUGGAUAACUUUGCUGAUCGUAUGGCCUAGAGCCGGCGACGUUUCAAUUGAGUUUCUGCCCUAUCAACUAGUUGGUAAUGUAUUGGAUUACCAAGGUAGCAACGGGUAACGGGGAAUCAGGGUUCGAUUCCGGAGAGGGAGCCUGAGAAACGGCUACCACAUCCAAGGAAGGCAACAGGCGCGCAAAUUACCCAAUCUAGACAGUAGGAGGUGGUGAAGAGAAUUACUAAGUGGUGGCCUUAUGGCUACCAGCUUGGAAUGAACGUAAUUUAAGCAAUUCGAUGAGUAACAACUGGAGGGCAAGUCCUGGUGCCAGCAGCCGCGGUAAUUCCAGCUCCAGUGAUCUCGUUUAAAGUUGUUGCGUUUAAAACGCUCGUAGUUGGAUCACGCAGCAUCAUCUGGUAAUCUUGAUAGU
rnacentral:rRNA from 1 species